rnacentral:rRNA from 1 species
AGCGAACGCUGGCGGCAGGCCUAACACAUGCAAGUCGAACGAACUCUUCGGAGUUAGUGGCGGACGGGUGAGUAACACGUGGGAACGUGCCUUUUGGUUCGGAAUAACUCAGGGAAACUUGUGCUAAUACCGAAUGUGCCCUUCGGGGGAAAGAUUUAUCGCCAUUAGAGCGGCCCGCGUCUGAUUAGCUAGUUGGUGAGGUAACGGCUCACCAAGGCGACGAUCAGUAGCUGGUCUGAGAGGAUGACCAGCCACACUGGGACUGCGACCCGGCCCAGACUCCUACGGGGGGCAGGAGGGGGGAAUCUUGCGGAAUGGGGGAAAGCCUGACGCAGCCAUGCCGCGGGAAUGAUGAAGGUCUUAGGAUUGUAAAAUUCUUUCACCGGGGACGAUAAUGACGGUACCCGGAGAAGAAGCCCCGGCUAACUUCGUG